rnacentral:rRNA from 1 species
GACGAACCGUGCGAACGUUAUUCGGAAUCACUGGGCUUAAAGCGUGUGUAGGCGGACUUCUAAGUGCCUUGUGAAAUCCCACGGCUCACCCGUGGAACUGCUGGGCAUACUGGGAGUCUUGAGCCACCUAGGGGCGAGCGGAACAAAUGGUGGAGCGGUGAAAUGCGUAGAUAUCAUUUGGAACGCCAACGGAGAAAUCAGCUCGCUGGGGGUGUGCUGACGCUGAGACACGAAAGCCAGGGGAGCGAACGGG